rnacentral:rRNA from 1 species
GGGUUCACCCAUUGGUCAGGCUUAAUUGUCUGCACUGGUGAGAUGAGUCUCUACCUUCUGAGGAACUUUCAUGUCAUUAAUUUGGUGUGAUGGGAAAUCAGGACUGUUACUUUGAAAAAAUUAGAGUGUUUAAAGCAGGCUCACGCUUGAAUACAUUAGCAUGGAAUAACGAAAUAGGAC